UACAGAGGUCUCAAGCGUUGUUCGGAUUCAUUGGGCGUAAAGGGUGCGUAGGCGGCGCGGUAAGUCGGGUGUGAAAUCUCGGAGCUUAACUCCGAAACUGCAUUCGAUACUGCCGUGCUUGAGGACUGGAGAGGAGACUGGAAUUUACGGUGUAGCGGUGAAAUGCGUAGAUAUCGUAAGGAAGACCAGUGGCGAAGGCGGGUCUCUGGACAGUUCCUGACACUGGGACACGAAGGCCAGGGGAGCAAACGGG
rnacentral:rRNA from 1 species